rnacentral:lncRNA from 1 species
GCGAGUUCGAAUUUUUCUAUUUUUAGAAGAAAAAAAGUCAGUUUUUUUUAUUAUUUUAAAUUUUUAGACUAUAAAUCUUAAACUCUAUAUCCUAAAAGUCUAAAUACUAAUCCUAUCUUCUAAAUUCUAUAAAAAUAAAGGUUAAAAGAUAAUUUUAAAACAAAACAAAAAAUUAAUUCAUAAUAUUAAUUACUUAAAAAUUGGUUUUCUAAUUUUUUUAGUAACAUAGACAUCUGGUACUUGGCAUUCAAUAUAUGUAUAUACAGUGUUGGUGGUUUUAGUUACCUUGCUUGAGAUAUCUAAUUGAUAAGAAAGUAGUUUAUAAUUAACUUUAUUAAUUUAGUUUUGAUAUAGUAAUAACACAGACAAAUUUUAUAUUGCCUCUCAACUUAAUACACUUUUUAAUUAUCGGAUAAAAGCAUACAUAUAAUACAUUCACGCUAGUUAAUUAAUUGAUCACAAAUAUAUUUUAUAAGUAUGCUAACUUGCCGUAAAAAAUAAUACAAAUGUUUAUGAUAGAAAAAAAAAAAACACAUCAGAGUAUCAGACAUUAGACAUUAGACAUAUACAAAUUAAAAUAAACAUAUUAUAGUCUUAGUUUUUAAUAAUACUUAUUUAUUUCUAUUAAUUUUGUAAGAUAUGAAAAAGUAUAAGGUAUCAACAUAUUAUCUGCCAACUUAUUGUCAAUAAUAAUUAAUUAUUAUAUUUUAAACACAUAUAUAAAGAGACACAUCCAGAAAAUAUAUUUAUAAAGACACUUCUAUUAAACACAGCCAUAAAAAAGAUAUUUUUAUUAGACACAUUUACAAAGACACUUUCAUUAAACACAAUUAU